AAGACCUCGGCGUCCCACCACGUGCUGGGGCGCACGGCCGGCCGGCUGAAUGGAGGAGCGGCUCGCCCGGCCGGGGCGCCCCGUGGCUGGCGGGGGGCGCCACGUCCAGGCCAGCUGGGCGCCCCCGCCGGCCCCUCCUGCUGCCAGGCUGCUCCGGCGGCGCCCGCACUUGCCCGCCAGCCACAGCCACCAGCCGGCGCGGGGGAGGACGGGCGGCCAGGCUGCGGACGCGAGCCGUAGCCUGCGCACUAAGGCAUGCCGGCCUCCCCGGAAACGCGAGCUCGCCUCCAGCCCCCCCCCCCCCCGCGAGAUCAGCUCCUCUGAGGAAAAAGUGGGUGCUCCGGGGGAGGAAGGGGCGCUCCCCAGGCUCCAGGACCGCCCCCCUCCGCUGGAUCUAGCAACUCUCCUGCGCAGCCUGACUCCGCAGAGACGGGCAAACCGCCGAGUUGGGUGGGCCUGACUCCAAGAAGCAUCUGGCCUAUGAGAAGCAGGCGGCUAGAAAUGAAAAGGCAAAGCCACCCCUGGUAGCGGAAAUUCUUUUUUUAAAAAUGAAAACCAAUAUUGAAAAAGGUUUCUGCUGUUGUGAGCAGGAGUUCAAGACAGAACUGUUUGGGGGCUGCAGCUUGGCGGCAGAGAGCACCUGAAGAAUGUCCUGGAUUCAAAUCCAGUUGUCUCCAGGUUGAGGCUGCUGUGACUCAGGAAGACCCUUCUCUGCUCAAAGAACAGAAGAGACUGCGCUGGAAUGGCUGGACCAGGAGCCCGACUGGAGGGGCCAAACUUCUGGUGAUUCCUUUCAUGUUCUCCUGAAAAUGUCUGUGAGUAUGCGAAAGAACAAUCUGCUGCCAAGGAAGCCCCCAGCCCCUGUGCUUCUGCAUGAGUCUCUGUUCUGUGGGGGCUUCCUUACUAGAAUGAGCCAAGCCCUGAACCACAGCUCAUAUAGAGAUGCAACAGGUACCAUCUUUUGACGGCAGGCACUUCCUUUUUUUGGCUAUGUCUUCUCAUAAGGAGUGGCCGACAUCUGAAAGGCACUGAAGGGUUGGGGGGCCAGGCCUGCACAGACUCUGCUUUGAAGGUGAAGGAAAACUAGAACAAUGAUAAGUUGCUCAGAGACGCAGCAAACAGCUUUUUCUGUGGAUAGGAAGACUUUCAGGUUUUCAACUGUUUAAUCUGCCUAAGACUUGCGGAUGGAACGAUUUUGUUGCGCCUCCCGUUUGGAACAGCUGCCCACCAUUUUUAAGAAGUUUGAUAGUUUUUAGCAACUUUUCUUUUUUUUCCAUCUUUUCCUCCCCAAACUCCAGUUUUGCUUCUGAAAGAUUGUAUCGAUUUACAUGUAUGUAAUCUACUUUGAGUCUCAGGGAGACAGAUGGAGUGGACUACAUAGUAAACAAAGUCGUGGAAUUUUAGCGUUGUAGCUUUAGAGUGAAGCUUUAGGGCAAAUCAACCAACACGACUGCCCAUAUUUAAGCCAAAGGGCAAACCGGACCAAAGGUGUGAUCGGCGCAGUCACUGGAAGUGGGCUGUCAGCAUUCCAAGGAGUUGCCUGUCCUGGGGCGUGCCCUCCAGGUGACAGCAGUGUUUUGAGAUGGAAGGCAUCAGCUGCUCUGUGUUAAUUGCGCUCCCUCGAGGCGUGAUGCGCAGGGAUGGCAGGAGCAAGGCAAACCCAGAGGGAGAGCGGGCUACUUGGCCUCCCAGGGAACAGAUCAGACCGGGAGGCUUCUCAGAUGGAUCUGAGUGGGCCCUGCGAAGACCAGCCAUUUUAACAGAUUAAAACACACACACACCCCACCCCACACACCCCUCCCUUACUGACUUGCAAGCUACAGACCGGCCAAAGACCAACACACUCCUCAAGCAGAGAUGGAGGACUUAGCAAAGGCUUCUCCAUACACCGUUCAUCAAGACAGGACAAGACAAGUAGCUGUUGCCUGCAUGAACAGCAGAGGAUCUGUCAGAGAUCUCACUUUCUCCAGCCACUCAGGUGUCCCAGGUGCAAAGGGAACAAACUCUAAUCGAGGCCAUUCACACUGCAGAAAUGGGGUUUCUCAGCACACUCGUUCCACCCCAACCACUCAGACACUCUCCAGUUCAUCCUUUUACUUCUGCCCAUGUAGUCAUAGAGUUAGGGUAAAGGCUCAUGUUUGAAUUAGUAAACAUCCAGUUUGAAUCUUUAAUGCAUUUAUACCCCACCUUUCUCCCCAACGGGGACCCAAAGCAGCUAACACUGUUUUCCAAGCUUCAUGCUCACAACAACCCUGCAAGGUAGGUCAGGCCGAGAGGGUGUGAUACGCUUACUCACCCAGCAAGCUUUCACGGCAGAGCAGGGAUUCAGUCCAACACUCUACUACACCGUGCUGGCUAGCCACACAACCGAUCCUAGAGAGUGGUUGUAAGCGCUAUACAAAUCAGUGCCAAGAUUUGCUUGUUGUAAGGAAAUAGCUGCCAUUCGUUCUUGGAGGAGGGCAAUAGCAGACUCCAGAGCCUGAUGCCGGCUUCACUGGAAAAGAAUCUUGGGGAACAAUGUACCGGGGGGCGGGGGGGCAUUGCUGGCUGGGGGAGCACAAUCUCCACAUGGAGAAGGUUCAAUCUCUGGUGAAAAGGAGGGCUGAGAGAGGCCUUGGGCAAGCUUUCAGUGACAGCUCAGUGAUCCUUCAGACAAACAGAGUAGAUUCUGGUUGUUGUGGGCUCUGGGCUGUGUGGCUGUGGUAUGACGGCCACACAGCCCGGAGAGUCCGCCCAUGAAUGCCUCUGAUAAUAAAGAGUAGAUUCUGCUUGCAGAAGUUCCAAUGUGGCUUCCCUAGCAGGUGUAUUUGCUAAAAAAGGGAGUCUCCUUGUCUCAUCUGGUAUGACCAGGAAGCAUGUGGGGAUGACCUUGGGCUAGUCUGCCUGGCCUUCCUCACAGGGUUGCUGUGAGGAUUAAAUGGGGGAGCCCAGUCCCAUGAAUUGUGGCCCUUGGGGGAAGGGCUGGGUAAAAAUAUAAUGAGCGGCAACAGGGACUGCUCACUGACAGGUUCUGGAAUCACUGGUUGUGCCCAAUCUCAACAGAUGUACAGGCACACAAUGAAUCUCAGCAGAUGUAUCAAUUAUCUGGAAUGCGAAGGCGUGGCAACCAGUCGCAAUUCAUAGAAGUGCAGUUUCUCCAAUGUAGCAAGCAUUAUCACAAAAUCUUUCAAGGAGGGAAUUUGUUGCAGAGUGCACCGUUGGGAUGCUAGUCAAGUAGACACCAACAUUUUCUGUCUGGGUUAUGGAUAAUGGUAGCAAAGACAGAAACAGCAUUUGCUGCUUCCUUACAUAUUAAUGCUUCCAAAUAGGUAAAAACACCUGGGCGCAGAGUCACUUCUUCUGAGACAGAAACCGAGAGAAGGUACAGCUAUGCAUAGAGGAAUGGGCCCCCCCUAACAAUACAUUUGUUCACCUGACAGCCAUCCACACAGACCAAAAUAUUCCAAAGUGCAGCAUGGGAAUAUUUCAGCAUCCCAUUCUUGAUUAAAGUAGGGGAUACAUAAAGAAAAUAUAGAGAUGGGAAUCAGGGAAUAGGCUUUGAGCAGUUAUAGAAAGUGUGCGUUGCUAUAUCUUUCACAAUAUCCUAUGAAUAUCUCAAACUUUAACCCCACAGGUUUCAUGUUCCAAUCUUAAAAUUCAGCACAGAUAAUGGAUUUUCCAUCUUCACAAAAGAUAAAAGUGAUUCCGGCCAGGAGACAACGUUUGGUUGCACCUGGCAUGCAAAGUCCAUCACACUUUUUCUAGAAAAGUUGUUUUAGAAAUGCUGGUGAUUCAUCUCUGUGAAAAGCCAGAUACCAAUAUUCUGUCACAUUGUGGUGGGAUCAAGAAGUACAAUCCAAAGCAUUCCAACAGUUUUAUUAUAAAGCAAUAAUCUCAUUUUUAUAAAAGGGUUGUAGUUUUAGGGCAAAAAAAUUGCGGCUGUUUCAGCACACUGACUAUUGUACCAUACAUAUCGUACUGUUUUAUUGUGUUCUUUUCCAGUUUUGUAAUCCAGUUUCAUCGCUGCCUUGUUUGCGUAUAUUGUACUGUUUUAUUGCAGACUGUAUUGUUGUUUUUUACUUUGUAAAAAAGUACAGAGAGAAAGGCAGAGUAUAAAUUACUUUGUGGAUGGUACUGAUCGCCUGGAGUGAAUCCAGUAUCACCUCUGAGCAAGCAGGUCAGGAAACCAGACUGCGACUUGGCUGGUCCUUUGACAAAGUGUCCUUUCACCUUUCCUUUUUUGAUGUCGCUAAGGGCUUCUCAAAGUACCUCCUUGUUUUAUGAGAAAAGACAGGGGUGCUGGUCAUGUUAAGGGGCUAACUAUGUUAAGCAGCUGCUACUAAAUUAAACUUAUUGACAAGUACACUUAUUAACAUA